UACGUAGGGAGCAAGCGUUGUCCGGAAUCAUUGGGCGUAAAGCGCGCGUAGGUGGCCUCAUAAGUCCGCUGUGAAAGUCAAAGGCUCAACCUUUGAAAGCCGGUGGAUACUGUGAGGCUAGAGUACGGAAGAGGCGAGUGGAAUUCCUGGUGUAGCGGUGGAAUGCGCAGAUAUCAGGAGGAACACCAAUAGCGAAGGCAGCUCGCUGGGACGUUACUGACACUGAGGCGCGAAAGCGUGGGGAGCGAACUGG
rnacentral:rRNA from 1 species